UACGAAGGGGACUAGCGUUGUUCGGAAUCACUGGGCGUAAAGCGCACGUAGGCGGAUUUGUAAGUCAGGGGUGAAAUCCCGGGGCUCAACCUCGGAACUGCCUUUGAUACUGCGGGUCUUGAGUCCGAUAGAGGUGGGUGGAAUUCCUAGUGUAGAGGUGAAAUUCGUAGAUAUUAGGAAGAACACCGGUGGCGAAGGCGGCCCGCUGGAUCGGUACUGACGCUGAGGUGCGAAAGCGUGGGGAGCAAACAGG
rnacentral:rRNA from 1 species